GCCCAAGCAAGCCAGGAAGGAGGAGGCAGCCAGAGUGUUCUCUGCAGCAGAAGACCCCUUGCUGCCCUGCUUAACCCAGACCAACAUUUGCCAGAUGUGGAGGGUUUUCCUUAUCAACCAUUUGCCAUUUGAGAGUUUGGUUUAACAUGAAUGGAUCUGCAGGGUGGGACCACACCUUUGAAGCUGGAGGACAUCAGUAUAUGGCCAUGCUGACAGGAUAUGCAAAUUUAUAGGAUUACCAAGCCUGGUCUUUAGAAAUUGCUUGAUUCACUUCCACAGACCUCUCACUUUUCAUUUUGGACAAAGGAGCACAGAGAGGAGGAGGAGAUUGAAUUCUAGAAUUGAAGCUUUGACUGUCAUCCUACAUGAUCAACAGAACAAGGAAACAUGGGACUUGAGAUCUGAAAGCUGCUUUCGAUUCGAUCUCCAGAGAAAGACUAUGGGCAAAGCUGCAUGAGCUAUCUUUGGAUAAGCACAUGUUAGUGCUGAUUUACAAGCUUCAUGAGAACACCCGCCUAAGAGUCCACCUGAGUGCACAGGGCCAAGUCUCGGCUGAAAUUCCCAAUUCCAGAGGGGGAGCACGUUCCACAACCCAGGGGCGAUAACUGAGAAGGCCCAAUCCCAGAUUUCCACCAGAUGAAUUGGCACCUGAAGAUGGAUCCCUCCUGAUGAUCUUAAUGAGUGGUGAAGAUCUUGUAGAGAAAGGCACUCUCUCAGGUAACCCGGGCCGGACCUAAGCCAUCCAGGGCUUUAAAGGUAAUAACCAGUA